GGAAAGUGAGGUGCUCUACGCCAAGGUGUCACCCAAGGAAAGAGUGAAUUUUAUUUCAGAAGAUUCAGAUACAGGUGAUCAAGUCACAUAUGCUGAGGUGAAAUGGAGAUCUGACAGACCUGACAGCACACCCAAAAUUACAGAUUCAGUGACCUGCUUGGAGAACUCCCCCUGGUGCUACGUUGUCUUUGCCCUGACCUUCUGUGCUGUGAUUCUGCUGCUCAUGGUCAUCCUGCUGGCAGUGAAAUGUUACAGCCUCUGACCCUGCUGCCACACAGGGUAAAUCAGCACAGGAAGGUUCUGCUUCUUCAACAAAACGGGACAUAGUGCUUGUUUCAUUUUACAUCAUUUUGGCUGAAGAGACAAAAUGAAGACAUGCCAUCAGCCAUCCCAGAUCUCUGUUAAACCUCUAACCUCUCCAUAUGUGGACAAGACAUAUUAAUUGGUUUUGGAAUUUUCUUAAUCCUGUAAUACCAGCAACCAUCCAACUACAUCAGUGCAUGUAUCAAGACAUGGGCUCAAGCUCCUGCAUCAAAAGGUGAAUUUGGGCCUAGUUUAGACAACAAAAAUGACCAGGUGGAGACAUACUUUUAAUUCACAUCUGACUUGAUUCUGCACUGAUGUGGAAUGCAGAUAAACUUUUGGAUUAUAUGCAAGUACAAUAACUCAUGGACAAAACAGGGAAUGUGAAAGGUUGCACUGAGCUUUUUUAUAAGGCCUGGGCUUUAUAAACUUGAUUUUUGUUGUUCUCACAGCCUUUACUUAGGUUUGUAUGAAAUAGAUAUUGAAGGUUCAAGAAAUGAAAUGUUAGCAGAGAAGUCUUGGUUUCAUCUCCUCAUUGGCUUGAAUUAAAUAAUUCUGCUCCACUUGUCCAGAAGAGCAUCUCAUGAUAUACUGUUUCUGUCUUGGGGCAGUACUUGAUUUUUGUAUUUGUUUGGGGUUGUUUUUUUUUCCCCCCACAUGCCAUAGCUUCAGUUAAAACUGAGUCCUCCACUGGAACUGAGGCACCUGAAAUUCAAAUGCAUUUGUUUGUAAUUAUGACUUCAUUGUCUGUUUUUAUAUUAUUUUUUUAUCUUAUCCAUUAUCACCUCUUUGUAGCAGGCUGCAGAGGAUUUGCAGACCCAGAGUAGGAGGAGUCUGUAUAGCAAAUAUUUUUAGAAUAUUUCUUGUAUCAAAAGUUACCUGUACUUCAGACGCUGCUGUUGAGAAUGUACCCCAUCUUUAUAAUACAUAUAUAUGCACAGAAGUCAAUAAAGGGAUUCAGUAAAGCA